UCUAUAAUGGCAGAUUAGUGCAAUGGAUUUAAGAUCCAUAAAUGAAAAAUAUUUCUUAUAGAA
rnacentral:tRNA from 1 species